rnacentral:lncRNA from 1 species
UCAGUUUCUCCUUGCCACGACUCCGGCAGAGCUCAUAGCUUUCAGAAUAUAUCUUCAUGAUCUCUCCGUUAAUCUCAUCCGAGUUCUGAUACUCUUCACAGAUCUGCUUGCGAAGGUCAUCGGUUAGAGGAGGCCCAAGGUCCCGAAGAGCCAUGAGUUCUCGGAUUUCUUCUCCAAGCUUCUGGCGCUUAUUCAGAUGAUGAGUUUCUGCUAGCUCUAGCUUCUGGAUCGUUUUAGUCAAGAUCUUAGCAUCAGCCUUUAGCUCUUUGAUCUUCUCUAUCCUUAUUUCGCUCCUCUUAACCAAGUCAACAUUCAUCUUGACGAUCUCCUCAUAUUGUGCUUUAGUUGACUUCAGUUCUUCAUUGGAUGUCUUCUCAUCUCCUUUGGCUUGGGCCAACUCUUUCCGAAGACCCUCAUUCGUGUGAAGAACGCUCUCACGUUGAGUCCUUUCUCGAGCCAGAGCAGACUUCAGGAUGGCAUUCUCCUUCCUUAUUGCCUCUUCUUCGGAUUCAGCUUCGAUAGAUUUUGGACGCAGAUGUCCGAACACAGCAUUCGCCUACGCAUGUCCAGUAUUAUUUGAUCAGUUUCAGAUGUAUAAGUAUGAAGAUAAAUACGGAAAUUAAGGAGAGAACCAUUUAGCUUCGCCAGGUAGCUCAUGCCUUCGCUAAGCAAAUCCCCGUUCGAACUGUUCCUGAAACGAUGGUCAUCAGUUUCACGGACGAAGGCGUCGAACAGUUGAAAAGAAAAGUUGGCAUUAAAUCGAGGCCACAUGGUUGGAGAGGCCAUAGCGUCAUGCUGGAAUUCAGAGGUUGACUGCCUUGGAGGAGAGGGCAUGGAUUGAUUGUGAAUUGGCGAGGGAUCCACAUGUAUAUUUUCUGGAGAGGGAGAUCAAACAGGAGUAGGUUCAUGGACUGGUGAGGGAGCCGUAGAUGAAACUGGAUGGCUAUCUGAUGGAUGUUUCCUUUUUUGGGAUAAGAUGGGGACAGAUCCGACCAGUUCAUCGUCAGGCACCUGAAUUUUAGUUGGGACUAUUGGGGGAAUGUCAGCCGAAGACGAUGGAACUCGGAGCUCAUCGGCAGUCAAAGGGGUAAUCUUUGUCCUUAUCUUCUUAGCACGGAGGACCUUCGCCCGAUCGUGUAGAGGUAUAUCAAGCAGGCUUCUCUUAAUCGGGACAGAUUCAGAAGGUGCAGAACUAGGGUUGGAUGAAGGGGUUGCUUAUGGAAUUGCUUCGGGAAUUGUUUUCGGAUCACUUUCAGGAUUUGUUUUCGGCUGGGUGGAUUUGGAUUUCUUAGCGGCUCUUUUCCUUCGGCGAGGUCUGAGAGAUUCUUCAGGAACGAUGGGUUCAUCAGUUUGGGGUUCAUCAUUCUAAGGAGAAACAGUUGGUAGAUCGGUGACGGGGGGAUCAGCUCGGGAAGAUUCUUCAGUCGGAGGCUCUUCACUUGUAUCCGUAAUCCUCCCUGCCAAAAAGUCUUCCAAUUCUUUUACUUCCGAAGAAGUUGGCUUGAUCAGAGACACUGCAAAUAACCAUGUAUCAGAACCCAUAUCACUUAAAUAUCUCAAAAAACUGUGUUACAAAGUUGUUCGGAACUUACAUUUAUGGUCAUAUAGCCAGGCUUGCUUAGUCAGAAGUGCAAAACUCCAUUCCUUCGGAGGAACCUUCUUCAAAAAAUCUGCCAUUUCCUUCACACGCUCUUCGGGGAUAUGUCCAAAGUCAACAGAGAUCCAAUCAGAGAUAGUCCAAUUUGGAAGAGAAGAGAUUUCGGGUCCCGUAACGAAAAACCAUUUUUCGUGCCAACCCUUGUUGCUUGAAGGGGUAUCCAUCAGGGAUCUCUUCUCAAAUCUGGUGUUGGGUCAAGGAGACUGUUUGCUCAACAUUUUGAAACCUCGUUCUCGGGACCUACCGGCUGAGAAGAGGGUGAAGAAGAUGUCGACAGAG